rnacentral:rRNA from 1 species
ACACGACUACAUUAGAUACCCCUGUAGUCCUAGCCGUAAACGAUACUCGCUAGGUGUCGGCCACGGUGCGACCGUUGUCGGUGCCGUAGGGAAGCCGUGAAGCGAGCCACCUGGGAAGUACGGCCGCAAGGCUGAAACUUAAGGAAUUGGCCGGGGGAGCACCACAACGGGUGGAGCUUGCGGUUUAAUUGGACUCAACGCCGGGAAGCUCACCGGAUAAGACAGCGGAAUGAUUGCCGGGCUGAAGACCCUGCAUGACCAGCUG